rnacentral:rRNA from 1 species
GAUGAACGCUGGCGGCGUGCCUAAUACAUGCAAGUCGAGCGAACGGACGAGAAGCUUGCUUCUCUGAUGUUAGCGGCGGACGGGUGAGUAACACGUGGAUAACCCACCUAUAAGACUGGGAUAACUUCGGGAAACCGGAGCUAAUACCGGAUAAUAUUUUGAACCGCAUGGUUCAAAAGUGAAAGACGGUCUUGCUGUCACUUAUAGAUGGAUCCGCGCUGCAUUAGCUAGUUGGUAAGGUAACGGCUUACCAAGGCAACGAUGCAUAGCCGACCUGAGAGGGUGAUCGGCCACACUGGAACUGAGACACGGUCCAGACUCCUACGGGAGGCAGCAGUAGGGAAUCUUCCGCAAUGGGCGAAAGCCUGACGGAGCAACGCCGCGUGAGUGAUGAAGGUCUUCGGAUCGUAAAACUCUGUUAUUAGGGAAGAACAUAUGUGUAAGUAACUGUGCACAUCUUGACGGUACCUAAUCAGAAAGCCACGGCUAACUACGUGCCAGCAGCCGCGGUAAUACGUAGGUGGCAAGCGUUAUCCGGAAUUAUUGGGCGUAAAGCGCGCGUAGGCGGUUUUUUAAGUCUGAUGUGAAAGCCCACGGCUCAACCGUGGAGGGUCAUUGGAAACUGGAAAACUUGAGUGCAGAAGAGGAAAGUGGAAUUCCAUGUGUAGCGGUGAAAUGCGCAGAGAUAUGGAGGAACACCAGUGGCGAAGGCGACUUUCUGGUCUGUAACUGACGCUGAUGUGCGAAAGCGUGGGGAUCAAACAGGAUUAGAUACCCUGGUAGUCCACGCCGUAAACGAUGAGUGCUAAGUGUUAGGGGGUUUCCGCCCCUUAGUGCUGCAGCUAACGCAUUAAGCACUCCGCCUGGGGAGUACGACCGCAAGGUUGAAACUCAAAGGAAUUGACGGGGACCCGCACAAGCGGUGGAGCAUGUGGUUUAAUUCGAAGCAACGCGAAGAACCUUACCAAAUCUUGACAUCCUUUGACAACUCUAGAGAUAGAGCCUUCCCCUUCGGGGGACAAAGUGACAGGUGGUGCAUGGUUGUCGUCAGCUCGUGUCGUGAGAUGUUGGGUUAAGUCCCGCAACGAGCGCAACCCUUAAGCUUAGUUGCCAUCAUUAAGUUGGGCACUCUAAGUUGACUGCCGGUGACAAACCGGAGGAAGGUGGGGAUGACGUCAAAUCAUCAUGCCCCUUAUGAUUUGGGCUACACACGUGCUACAAUGGACAAUACAAAGGGCAGCGAAACCGCGAGGUCAAGCAAAUCCCAUAAAGUUGUUCUCAGUUCGGAUUGUAGUCUGCAACUCGACUACAUGAAGCUGGAAUCGCUAGUAAUCGUAGAUCAGCAUGCUACGGUGAAUACGUUCCCGGGUCU